UGAGGUUGGACGGGGAUGGGAUGGGACCGUCGAAACGGUUGCAUUUAAGGCUGAGGCUGUGGAGCUGGGUGAGGGAGGUGAGGUGGAGAAUGGAGUUGGUGAGGUUGAGGUCUUCAAGGAUGAGGCAGGAAACAUGGUGGUGGUUGUGAUUGUAGAAGUGGGAGACAUUGUGUCGGGGUUGUUGGCGGUGCAGCGGACAACAUGAAGAGUGUGAGCUAUCCAGAGGACCAAGAAAAGAGUUGGGUUAUUGAGAGCAUACAGUAUGCAAUUGCAGAGAUGCUUACCAAGGAGUUUUAUAGUUGGAAUAAAAGCAGGACCAUUCAUAAGCUAAUCCAAACAGGGCCAUGUCACCUACAAUAUUUGUUUCUAUUCUUGUUUACUUUGAAUUGUUGUUGCAGUUACGUUGUUUAAAAUUAUAUAUAUGCUGCUAAAUUCCAGCCUCACCUUUUGUUUUACCGAACUCUCGGGUCAAUAAUUAAUGAUAAAUUAAGGACAAAAGAAAUUGUUCCAU